CCUGGCGGCACUAGCGCGGUGGUCCCACCUGACCCCAUGCCGAACUCAGAAGUGAAACGCCGUAGCGCCGAUGGUAGUGUGGGGGUCUCCCCAUGUGAGAGUAGGGAACUGCCAGGC
rnacentral:rRNA from 2 species